rnacentral:misc_RNA from 1 species
UGAAGCAACCUAGGAGCCUGAGAUAUGGCCACCGGGCACACCUUCCACCCUUUGUUUAUCACACUUUGUUGCUUUGGCAGGCCUGCCUUCGGGCUGCUGGCUCCGGCCGGCGAGCGCCUGCCAGAGGACCCAAACUCUGUUUGUCUGUAACGUCUGAGUACUAUAUAAUAGUUAAAACUUUCAACAACGGAUCUCUUGGUUCU